UGGGAGCAAAGAGGGGGACCUUCGGGCCUCUCGCGCUAAGAUUGGCCCAGGUGGGAUUAGCUAGUAGGUGGGGUAACGGCUCACCUAGGCGACGAUCCCUAGCUGGUCUGAGAGGAUGAUCAGCCACACUGGAACUGAGACACGGUCCAGACUCCUACGGGAGGCAGCAGUGGGGAAUAUUGCACAAUGGGGGAAACCCUGAUGCAGCCAUGCCGCGUGUGUGAAGAAGGCCUUCGGGUUGUAAAGCACUUUCAGUCGUGAGGAAGGCGGUAUCGUUAACAGCGGUAUCGUUUGACGUUAGCGACAGAAGAAGCACCGGCUAACUCCGUGCCAGCAGCCGCGGUAAUACGGAGGGUGCGAGCGUUAAUCGGAAUUACUGGGCGUAAAGCGCAUGCAGGCGGCUUGUUAAGCCAGAUGUGAAAGCCCGGGGCUCAACCUCGGAAUCGCAUUUGGAACUGGCAGGCUAGAGUCUUGUAGAGGGGGGUAGAAUUUCAGGUGUAGCGGUGAAAUGCGUAGAGAUCUGAAGGAAUACCGGUGGCGAAGGCGGCCCCCUGGACAAAGACUGACGCUC
rnacentral:rRNA from 1 species